rnacentral:rRNA from 1 species
CCCUUAGAUGUCCUGGGCCGCACGCGCGUUACACUGAUGCAUUCAACGAGCUUAUAACCUUGGCCGAGAGGCCUGGGCAAUCUUGUUAACGUGCAUCGUGAUAGGGAUAGAUUAUUGAAAUUAUUAAUCUUGAACGAGGAAUUCCUAGUAAACGCAGAUCAUCAAUCUGCAUUGAUUACGUCCCUGCCCUUUGUACACACCGCCCGUCGCACCUACCGAUUGAGUGAUCCGGUGAAUAAUUCGGACUGCAGCAGUGUUCAGUUCCUGAACGUUGCAGCGGAAAGUUUAGUGAACCUUAUCACUUAGAGGAAGGAGAAGUCGUAACA